UGGGGAAUAUUGCACAAUGGGCGAAAGCCUGAUGCAGCAACGCCGCGUGAGUGAUGAAGGCCUUCGGGUUGUAAAGCUCUGUCUUUUGGGACGAUAAUGACGGUACCAAAGGAGGAAGCCACGGCUAACUACGUGCCAGCAGCCGCGGUAAUACGUAGGUGGCAAGCGUUGUCCGGAUUUACUGGGCGUAAAGGAUGCGUAGGCGGAUUUUUAAGUGAGAUGUGAAAUACCCGGGCUUAACUUGGGUGCUGCAUUUCAAACUGGGAAUCUAGAGUGCGGGAGAGGAGAAUGGAAUUCCUAGUGUAGCGGUGAAACGCGUAGAGAUUAGGAAGAACACCAGUGGCGAAGGCGAUUCUCUGGACCGUAACUGACGCUGAGGCAUGAAAGCGUGGGUAGCAAACAGGAUUAGAUACCCUGGUAGUCCACGCCGUAAACGAUGAGUACUAGGUGUAGGAGGUAUCGACCCCUUCUGUGCCGCAGUUAACACAAUAAGUACUCCGCCUGGGAAGUACGAUCGCAAGAUUAAAAC
rnacentral:rRNA from 1 species